rnacentral:rRNA from 1 species
UACGUAGGGUGCAAGCGUUGUCCGGAAUUAUUGGGCGUAAAGAGCUUGUAGGCGGUUUGUCGCGUCGUUCGUGAAAACUCACAGCUUAACUGUGAGCUUGCGGUCGAUACGGGCAGGCUAGAGUUCGGUAGGGGAGACUGGAAUUCCUGGUGUAGCGGUGAAAUGCGCAGAUAUCAGGAGGAACACCGGUGGCGAAGGCGGGUCUCUGGGCCGAUACUGACGCUGAGGAGCGAAAGCGUGGGGAGCGAACAGG